CGCGCCGGUGGUUGGUGCGUCAGUCGCCAUUCCGUUUGAUGGCAGCAUGAAACUUUAAGUCUGUUUUUCAGUCAUAUCUUGAAGCAAAGGUUUUGAAAUAAUACCGCUGUGUGUUACUUUAUAGUCUGAUCUUUUACUCGGAGAAAUUUCUCGGUUGUGGACGUACAAGUGGCAAAAUACUAGUGGCGGGAAACCGUUUGAUAUCUCACUUGACGUGUUGUGUCCUAUGUGUACAUAGAGAGAGGAGCCGUCUGCCCUAGAGGGCGGCCGACAUGCUGGAUUCGUCGUGAAUCGAUAUUUUUGGACCGUUGUAGAGCAGAAAUCAUGAGGUUUGGAGCUUAAUAAAGGACAAAGGAUGGAAAAUGAGAAAGGUGGACAAUGACAACAUGUCCCCGCCGCGUGCGAUGACCCUGCAGGGCGCCGGGGGUCGCGAGCCGCCGGCGGGGCCCGCCCGGCACCAUGCGCCUCUCAACCCGCCCUCGCCACCACGCUUCAUGAAAACCAUAACGCUUAUUAGGCUAUAUCUACAAUUUAUAUGUGUGAUGUCACAUCUGCGCCACACCACGAUACCGCGGGUGCGAGCGAACUUUAAUUUUCCAAAGCGUCCUCUAGUGAAAUUAAAAGUGUAUCUAUUCCGAACUACUCGUAGUACAUUGAAAAUUAAAUCUUUGUUAGUGAAUACUGUAGUGCAAUUAUUCGUUGUUGCCAAGUGUGUAGUGUGUGUGCGUGUGCGCAAAUGCAGCAGGGGUGCGUUGCUGUUGCUCCUGUUGAGUGGGUUGUGUAAAUACAGUGAUGGGAAGCGUGAUGAUGACUUGCAUAUUGGUGGUAUUUUCCCCAUGGAGGGAGAGGGCGGCUGGCAGGGCGGGCAGGCGUGCAAGCCUGCCGCUGAGUUGGCUCUGGCUGAUGUCAACGCGAGAUCAGAUCUUUUAUCUGGGUUUAAGUUACUUCUUCAUAGCAACGACAGCAAGUGUGAACCUGGCCUCGGAGCGAGUGUCAUGUACAAUCUGCUGUACAAUCCGCCACAGAAGUUGCUCCUACUGGCUGGUUGUUCCACUGUGUGCACUACGGUCGCUGAGGCGGCGAAAAUGUGGAAUCUUAUGGUUCUAUGUUACGGCGCAUCUUCACCUGCGCUCUCCGACCGCGCGAGAUUCCCCACACUGUUUCGCACACAUCCGUCCGCGACAGUGCACAAUCCUACGAGGAUCAAGCUUAUGCAGAAAUUCGGCUGGUCACGCAUCGCUAUAUUACAACAAGCCGAGGAAGUCUUCAUAUCAACUGUCGAGGAUCUGGAAGCCCACUGCAAGAAGUCCGGCAUCGAGAUAGUAACCCGACAAUCGUUCCUGUCGGACCCAAACGAUGCGGUGCGGAACCUUCGAAGACAGGACGCAAGGGUUAUUGUAGGACUCUUCUAUGUGGUGGCAGCAAGAAGAGUCCUCUGUGAAGUCUACAAACAUAAGCUUUAUGGAAAAUCGUACGUCUGGUUUUUUAUUGGUUGGUAUGAAGACAACUGGUUCGAAACAAACCUAGAACGAGAAGGCUUGGACUGCACGGCAGAACAAAUGCGGGAGGCUGCAGAAGGCCAUCUUACCACGGAAGCGCUAAUGUGGAAUCAAAACGCCAAUCAAACAACGAUAUCCGGGAUGACUUCGGAAGACUUUCGAUCACGGUUGAACGAAGCACUGCGCGAAGCCGGUUAUAACAUCGACGGGGAGAGAUUUCCGGAGGGAUAUCAAGAGGCGCCUCUAGCCUACGACGCUGUGUGGUCCGUUGCUUUAGCCUUUAACAAAACAAUGGAGAAAUUGCAGAAGAGCGGCUUGAGCUUGAAGAAUUUCACGUACACUAAUAAGAAAAUUGCGGACGACAUUUACGAAGCAAUAAACUCUACGUCGUUUCUAGGAGUGUCGGGUUUGGUGGCGUUCUCCUCUCAAGGAGAUCGCAUAGCGCUGACACAGAUAGAGCAGCUGACGGACAACCAUUAUGUGAAGUUGGGAUACUACGACACACAGGCUGACAACCUUACAUGGCUAGACAGGGAGCGAUGGGUUGGUGGAAAGGUGCCGCCAGAUCGCACGGUGGUCGUAAACGAGCUCCGCACUGUAUCAUUGUCUCUGUUCGCCUGCAUGACAGCGCUCUGCAUCGCUGGGAUUUUGGCCGCCAUAGCUUUAAUAGUGUUCAAUAUUCUACAUAGGCACAGAAGAGUCAUCCAAUGGUCACAUCCAGCUUGUAACACGGUCAUGCUCUGUGGUUGUUGCAUCUGCUUCGGCGCCGCCAUAGCUCUCGGCGUGGACGGAAGAUGGGUGCUUCCAGAACACUUUGCAGGACUCUGCGCUGCUCGGGCAUGGCUGUUAGCAACUGGGUUCUCCAUGGCAUAUGGUGCCAUGUUCACAAAAGUGUGGCGCGUACAUCGACACACUACUAAACCUAAGGUUGACACAAAGAAACGUAUGCACGGUUGGAAGCUGUAUACAAUGGUGGGAGGACUGCUGGCGGUAGACGUGGCUUUGUUAACCGCGUGGCAGAUACGGGACCCGCUGCAGCGGCGUGUGGAAAUAUUCCCUUUGGAAGCGCCGCGACAUCACGACGACGAUGUCCACAUACGCCCCGAAUUGGAACACUGCGAGAGUGAUCACAAUACUGUCUGGCUCGGCGUAAUGUACGGGUACAAGGGUUUGGUGCUAGUGUUCGGAUUGUUCCUUGCUUACGAAACACGUUCGGUGAAGGUGCGCCAGAUCAACGACUCGCGUUACGUCGGCAUGAGUAUCUACAACGUGGUGGUGUUGUGCCUCAUCACUGGACCUGUCACGCUGGUCAUCGCUAGCCAGCAAGACGCCGCCUUUGCGUUCGUCUCCCUCGCGAUUGUCUUCUGCUGUUUCCUUAGCAUGGCACUCAUAUUUAUUCCCAAGGUUAUCGAAGUUAUACGGCACCCGACGGAACGGCCGGAAAGCGGUCGGGGAUCAGGCUCGGGAUCUGCGCCGGCUGACGAGGAGCAUUACCGGGAGCUUGUCAAAGAGAAUGAGGAAUUGCAGAAGCUAAUCGCACAGAAAGAGGAGCGGAUCCGUGUUCUAAAGCAGAAGCUAGCAGAGCGCGAGGCGGCGGCAGCGGAUGGAGUAACGCAAGAUGCGCAAUUGUUUUUUGUUCGAGAGUUCAUGCAGUCAAAUCUCGUUAAAUGCAUUAAUUUAAAAUAUAUUACCUAAAUAUUUGCUGUAUAUAGUAUAAUUUAAGUUGAAAUUAUUAAAGACAACCAUUAAAAUGUUAAUUGGUAAUGUUUUCUUUUCAAAAUUGACUAAUAAUGAGGAGAGAGAUCAUAAAGUCGCAACAGGCGUUGUGACAAGCGAUAUGUCGAGAGUUCUGAGUGUUAAGGCUGCAUGUCCAAGAUGAACAGAUCUAAUCUGCACCGUUGAUUCUGCGGUUAAUCUGUUAAAGUAUAGUUAAGUAAUUAAUAUCAAAAUAAAUAUUUAAUAAUAUUGUUAACACGCCACGCAACCUUUUGGUGAAUCCACCUUCUGCAUUGAUUGUCUAAGUUAAUGAGUUACAGAUUUAGUUAUUUUCAUUAGUUUCAUUAAAUAAAAAUUCUUUAUUCAAAAUAUUAUUAUGUAUCAACAGUUAUGGGGUUUCUAAAAUUAACUACUUUAGGAUAAGAUAAAUUGAAAGUUUGAAGUGAAAGUUUGAAAUUGAAGGUAAUGAAAUUAAUACUUACCUACUUUUGCAAAUUCUAUAACAAGUAAAAGAGAACUUCAUACUUAAUUGUCCCUAUUAAUUUGUCUUAAAGUGGCGUCUUAAUAAUAUUAAUUCUUUACCACUAAACUUUUUGCUGAACAGUUUAAAAUGAAACGAUACUAAAUAUGAUGAUAUGAAAUAAAAGUGUUCUUAUAAAAAUAGAUGAUUGAUUAACGUAGUCGAUAUUGUGAAAAUUAGCGUAUUUAUAACAAUAAAAAGAGUUUACUCUAAAUAAUAUGAAGAUUCUUAUAUUGUGUUACGAAAAACAAAAUAUUUAUGAAGAGCAGAUACUUAAUAUCAAAUUAGUUAUAAUAUUAUUGGUUGUAAACAAUGGUCGUUGCUCAGUAUAGUUUAAGUUAUGAGUCAACCGUUAAAAAUGUAUA